GUGAGUAGUUCAGAGUUUGAUCCUGGCUCAGGAUGAACGCUGGCGGCGUGCCUAACACAUGCAAGUCGAACGAAGUUAUCAAAAGGAAAUUUUCGGAUGGAAUUUUGGUAUACUUAGUGGCGGACGGGUGAGUAACGCGUGAGCAACCUGCCUUUCAGAGGGGGACAACAGUUGGAAACGACUGCUAAUACCGCAUAACAUAUGACCUCGGCAUCGAGGACAUAUCAAAGGAGCAAUCCGCUGAAAGAUGGGCUCGCGUUGGAUUAGAUAGUUGGUGGGGUAACGGCCUACCAAGUCAACGAUCCAUAGCCGGACUGAGAGGUUGAACGGCCACAUUGGGACUGAGACACGGCCCAG
rnacentral:rRNA from 1 species